UUUGAAUUAGCUCAAGAGCUAAGAGGGCCACAAUUGGACAAGGGGAAGGAAAAAGUGAUCGAAUAGCCGUAAAAGCCGUUCGACAACAUCCGAGAUUUCGCUCGAUAGCAAUCGGAUUCGGGAUCAAUAAAGUCGAAGUCAUCCACACUAUCAACGUCUCUAUUUUGGUAUAAAUUUUUGGUUGAACUUUGAAAUGGCAUGUAUAGGACUACCCCUUGUUGGUUAAAUAUGUUGUGAUGUAUUUGUGUACGGCCAUGCGAAAAUGGCUCGUAAAAGUGAAGUAUCGACUUAGACUAUUUGCGGUUUGUAUAUGUAUAUAUUUGGUGUCAUGAUGUGACCAUGGAUUGGAAAUGGGAAUGUUGGUCACAUGAUCAGCCAUUGGCAUGGUUAAAAUGAUCAUAUAUGAACCUAUGUAUGGCAAGACUAGUUGGUUCAUGGAGACUACCAAAUAGGUAAGACCUACCUUAAAAACAGAUGCUGCCAGCUGCAGUGACGUGAAUGUGAAAAAUCACCAAAAUUUGUAGGAAUGGUAUUAAAUAGUGAAUAAGCUAUGUAAAUGAA